rnacentral:ncRNA from 1 species
GAGUUGAUUGGAGAUGGCGUUCCUCCUUUAACCAUCGCGCUAACGGCGCGGUUAAUGACGCCUACAGUUAC